ACUCUGAUCCAGCCAUGCCGCGUGCAGGAAGACUGCCCUAUGGGUUGUAAACUGCUUUUAUAGAGGAAGAAACCUCCCUACGUGUAGGGAGCUGACGGUACUCUACGAAUAAGGAUCGGCUAACUCCGUGCCAGCAGCCGCGGUAAUACGGAGGAUCCAAGCGUUAUCCGGAAUCAUUGGGUUUAAAGGGUCCGUAGGCGGGCAGUUAAGUCAGUGGUGAAAGUCUUCCGCUCAACGGGAGAAUUGCCAUUGAUACUGAUUGUCUUGAGUCAUUAUGAAGUGGUUAGAAUGAGUAGUGUAGCGGUGAAAUGCAUAGAUAUUACUCAGAAUACCGAUUGCGAAGGCAGAUCACUAAUAAUGUACUGACGCUGAUGGACGAAAGCGUAGGUAGCGAACAGGAUUAGAUACCCUGGUAGUCUACGCCGUAAACGAUGGUUACUAGCUGUUUGGACGAUUGAGUCUGAGUGGCUAAGCGAAAGUGAUAAGUAACCCACCUGGGGAGUACGUUCGCAAGAAUGAAACUCAAAUG
rnacentral:rRNA from 1 species